GUGGGGAAUCUUAGACAAUGGGGGCAACCCUGAUCUAGCCAUGUCGCGUGAGUGAUGAAGGCCUUAGGGUCGUAAAGCUCUUUCGCUGGGGAAGAUAAUGACGGUACCCAGUAAAGAAACCCCGGCUAACUCCGUGCCAGCAGCCGCGGUAAUACGGAGGGGGUUAGCGUUGUUCGGAAUUACUGGGCGUAAAGCGCGCGUAGGCGGAUUGGAAAGUUGGGGGUGAAAUCCCGGGGCUCAACCCUGGAAUGGCCUUCAAAACUCCCAGUCUUGAGGUCGAGAGAGGUGAGUGGAAUUCCGAGUGUAGAGGUGAAAUUCGUAGAUAUUCGGAGGAACACCAGUGGCGAAGGCGGCUCACUGGCUCGAUACUGACGCUGAGGUGCGAAAGCGUGGGGAGCAAACAGGAUUAGAUACCCUUGUAGUCC
rnacentral:rRNA from 1 species